rnacentral:rRNA from 1 species
UACGGGGGGGGCAAGCGUUGUUCGGAAUUACUGGGCGUAAAGGGCUCGUAGGUGGCCAACUAAGUCAGACGUGAAAUCCCUCGGCUUAACCGGGGAACUGCGUCUGAUACUGGAUGGCUUGAGUUCGGGAGAGGGAUGCGGAAUUCCAGGUGUAGCGGUGAAAUGCGUAGAGAUCGGGAGGAAGGCCGGUGGCGAAGGCGGCUCUCUGGGACGGUACUGACGCUGAGACGCGAAAGCGUGGGGAGCGAACAGG